rnacentral:rRNA from 1 species
CCUACGGGUGGCAGCAGUUAGGAAUCUUGGGCAAUGGGGGAAACCCUGACCCAGCCAUGCCGCGUGUGUGAAGAAGGCCUUCGGGUUGUAAAGCACUUUCAAGGGUAAAGAAAAGCCUGGGGCGAAUACCCUCGGGUCUUGACGUUAGCCCUAGAAGAAGCACCGGCUAACUCCGUGCCAGCAGCCGCGGUAAUACGGAGGGUGCGAACGUUAAUCGGAAUUACUGGGCGUAAAGCGCACGUAGGCGGUUCGUUAAGUGGGAUGUGAAAUCCCCGGGCUCAACCUGGGAACUGCAUUUCAGACUGGCGAACUGGAGUCUGGUAGAGGGGGGUGGAAUUUCCUGUGUAGCGGUGAAAUGCGUAGAUAUAGGAAGGAACAUCAGUGGCGAAGGCGGCCCCCUGGACCAAGACUGACGCUGAGGUGCGAAAGCGUGGGGAGCAAACAGGAUUAGAUACCCCUGUAGUC